UUGCUCUCACUCACUGUUUUAGUGAAAUGUGCCUUUUUGAACUCUGUAAUAUUUUAAACUGACUUUGUAAAGGCAGGGUGGUGCGGUGGGUAGCACUGUCGCCUCACAGCAAGACGGUCCUGGGUUUGAUUCCCUGAAGCGGACUGGGUGCCAACAUGCACCUAAAAACAUGUGUUAGGUUGAACGGUCACUCUAAAUUGCCUGUAGGUAUGAGUGUGGGUGUGAAUGGUUGUUUGUGUAUGUGUGGCCCUGUGAUGGACUGGCGACCUGUCCAGUGAUGGACUGAGUCGUCUACAGUCACGACUGUGCGGUUUUUGUCACUCACUGGGUGGUAGAGCCAAGCUUCAUUUAAAUAUUACACUGGAACUGUUAUGUCGGCAGCCGGGCUUUCUGGUUUUGGGCUUUUAUUGUCGUGGAUUUUGUUUUGCAUCCGGUUGUUUCGUUCCUGUUCCUUGGCUUGUUGAUUGUUUUCACCGGUGCCUCAUUAGUCGGACUAUUUAGCCCUUCCGUUUCCGAGGCAUCCUUGUCGGUUUAUUGUUCGCCCACAGCUGUUUGAAGCCGUCCAGGUUUGACCAAGUUAUUUCGCCUUGUGACCAUAGUCCUCGCUGUUGUAUUUUUUCACGUUGACUUAGAUUUUGUUUGUGCUGGCCACGCCAGUUUUCCGUACUUUGAACGCGCUUUGAGUUUACGGUCUUUUUUUUCUGUUCGCACGGUGAGCAUUUUGCCCAUGCCAUUUCGGACUAAAAAGGACACUGACGUGAGGACGGUCCUCCGUCGUUCGGAUCGCGCGCUAUUAGCCGUCGGACCCGGUAUUGUUACGUGAAGCGCUGUGCGCGCACCAUUGUGCUCCUCCACAGACACCGUGGGAAGGAACCUCCGGAGUAACGCUGGAACGAGGACCCGGUCCCCACAGCCACGCCAUCGCUGUUCCUCAACCUGCCUCAUGCUCGGAGCUUCACCUCGCGUUUGCCCUGUUUUACCAGGGACGCUACUAUCUAGGACGAGUUUACGCCCACGCACCCUUGUUUCCUUUUUCUGUAAAUAAAACCCUUUUGUGUGCAUACUAGGUCUCUGACUCGGUUCUGUGGAACACUCCCUGGGGGUCCAGCUGCGCACUUAAUGGUGCACAGGGUAACAUUUCUCUGACAGGAACCAAUUAUCUAUACGAGUAUUUAUAUCCACAUUACAGAAGGUCUAACUAUUAAAAUAUUAAAUAUGAAUUCUGUAGCUAUAACAAAUGAACACAACCAAAAAAAACUAAAAAGAAUUAAUAAUGACAUUAAUAAACUGGUUCCUCGAAUGAGGCA
rnacentral:lncRNA from 1 species